GACGAAGGAUGCAAGCGUUAUCCGGAUUCAUUGGGUUUAAAGGGAGCGUAGGCGGCCUUGUAAGUCAGUGGUGAAAUCUCUCGGCUUAACUGAGAAACUGCCAUUGAUACUGCAGGGCUUGAGUACAGUUGCCGUUGGCGGAAUAUGACAUGUGGUGGUGAAAUACAUAGAGAUGUCAUAGAACACCGAUUGCGAAGGCAGCUGACGAAACUGUAACUGACGCUGAGGCUCGAAAGUGUGGGGAUCAAACAGG
rnacentral:rRNA from 1 species